rnacentral:rRNA from 1 species
UACAGAGGUCCCGAGCGUUGUUCGGAUUCAUUGGGCGUAAAGGGUGCGUAGGCGGCUUCCUAAGUUUGAUGUGAAAUCCUGGGGCUCAACCCUGGAACUGCAUUGAAUACUGGGAGGCUAGAGUACUGGAGAGGAAACUGGAAUUUACGGUGUAGCAUUGAAAUGCGUAGAGAUCGUAAGGAAGACCAGUGGCGAAGGCGAGUUUCUGGACAGUUACUGACGCUGAGGCACGAAGGCCAGGGGAGCAAACGGG